AAUAAUUUAGAUAUUUCUUGAAAAUGAUUUUCCUAGAUAUUAUACUAGAGUAUUCUAGAAACUAUACUAAAAAAUCUAUGAUCCUAAAAGAGACUACUUCUCUAUUUUUCACAAGAUAUGGCGCAGGAAAAAAAAGAAAAUGACCAUCUACUAGAAAGAAAUUCCUGGAAUCUAGAGCAGGAUUACAAGUAUUUCAAAAAGUAUUAGAAAAUGCUAUAGGGCAUUGAGUAAUUAAUCCAAUGGGUAAAACAAGAAUAAUAAUUAUUUUUUGCUAGAUAUGCUAAAGUGGACAAGUAAAAGUAUAAAUGUAUGUCCUCCUUUGUCUUAAUACAACGUAUGUAACUUGAUUUCAGACAAUUAAAUAUCAAGAUUAUUUUGUUAGCUUUCGUGCAUCCUUAGCUUGUCAAAUAAAAUUUAUGACUAUUCAACUAAAGUAUAUCUAGAAUGCGUAUGCAUUUAUUAGCCUCUCACUCUGCUUCAACAGCUU
rnacentral:lncRNA from 1 species